rnacentral:lncRNA from 1 species
GAAGGUGCAACAGUUGAGGAACCUUGUAGGUGCACGAAUCUUCGUUGAGGUCCACUCUAUAGUUCUGGCCUCCAUGGCUCUCACCGCCAACAUUAGUACUACCAGCACCUCUUACACAAUAUACCAUUCUUUCUAGCCUGUAUAUUUCUGGUAAUUGGUUAACAGACCUUAGCUCAGCAUCUCAUAUAUAGUCAUCUGCAAUCUUACCCUUCCUAUGACCUUCAUUCAACAGAUCACGUGCCUUUUGCCAUCUAUCCACAAAGUACCCGUUGCAUUUUUGGAAUGAGUAUUCAAUAACUCCGGUUACAGGUCUAGUUCAGAUGCCUUUGAAAAUAUUGUUUAAGAAUUCCGAAUAGUUUGUGGCCAUAAUACUAUAACGUGUCCCUCCCUCAUCGAAAGGCUGCGCCCAUUUGUCCUUAUCCUCCAUUUCACCCUUCAACUAUUGUUUAGCCG